AACGUAGGACGCAAGCGUUAUCCGGAGUUACUGGGCGUAAAGCGUGUGUAGGCGGCCACGCAAGUCGGAUGUGAAAGCCCUGGGCUUAACCUGGGAAUUGCAGUCGAUACUACUCAGCUAGAGUAUGGGAGAGGGUAGUGGAAUUCCCGGUGUAGCGGUGAAAUGCGUAGAUAUCGGGAGGAACAUCAGUGGCGAAGGCGGCUACCUGGCCCAAUACUGACACUCAGGUGCGACAGCGUGGGGAGCAAACAGG
rnacentral:rRNA from 1 species